AGAGUUUGAUCCUGGCUCAGAAUGAACGUUGGCGGCGUGGAUUAGGCAUGCAAGUCGUGCGGAAAGGCUCCUUCGGGAGUACUCGAGCGGCGAAAGGGGGAGUAACGCGUGGAUAUCUACCCCCUGGCCUGGGAUAGCGGCGGGAAACUGCCGGUAAUACCAGAUAAUAUCUGCGGAUCAAAGGUGUGAUUCCGCCGGGGGAUGAGUCCGCGUCCUAUUAGCUAGUUGGUGAGGUAACGGCCCACCAAGGCUAAGAUGGGUACCGGGUGUGAGAGCAUGGCCCGGCUCACUGGGACUGAGACACUGCCCAGACACCUACGGGUGGCUGCAGUCGAGAAUCUUCGGCAAUGGGCGCAAGCCUGACCGAGCGACGCCGCGUGCGGGAUGAAGGCCUUCGGGUUGUAAACCGCUGUCAGAGGGGAGGAAAUGCAUGGGGGUUCUCCCUCAUGUUUGACCUAUCCUCAGAGGAAGUACGGGCUAAGUUCGUGCCAGCAGCCGCGGUAAUACGAACCGUACGAACGUUAUUCGGAUUCACUGGGCUUAAAGCGUGCGUAGGCGGCUGGGAAAGUUGGGUGUGAAAUCCCUCGGCUCAACCGAGGAAUUGCGCUCAAAACUACCUGGCUUGAGGGAGAUAGAGGUGAGCGGAACUGAUGGUGGAGCGGUGAAAUGCGUUGAUAUCAUCAGGAACACCUGUGGCGAAAGCAGCUCACUGGGUCUUUUCUGACGCUGAUGCACGAAAGCUAGGGGAGCGAACGGGAUUAGAUACCCCGGUAGUCCUAGCUGUAAACGAUGAGCACUGG
rnacentral:rRNA from 1 species